GGGAGGAUAAACUCUCAUUUCUAUUCUUUAUUAUUUUUUAUUCUUCUUCCUCCUCCUCUUUCUUUCUUCCCUGUUCUUCUGUGAGUGUUUUGAGUUCACGAAUUAGUGGUUCUGAGAUCGUGGGGAGAUGAUUCAUAUCAACUAACGACUGUUACUGAUGGUGUUGAUUAGAAUAGGUGAUUCAGAGUUAAUGAAAAGGUGAAUCAGAGAGUCGAAAUUAGGGUUUUUAGAUUCAGUUCUAAUCUGAAGAUCUAGAAGAUGAAAUAUGGAACUAUGGUUCGUUGAAGAAUAAUGGGUAAAUGUUCAAUCGAUGUUUUAGAGUGAAACCAGUGAUGAGGCGGAGAAUUUGGGUUAGGGUUAUUGCAAAUUCAAUUGAAAUUCAAAUUAAGGUUUCGUGGAAUUGUUUAGAGAAGAUGUAGAAGUUGAAAUUUAGAGUCUGGGGGAUUGAAUUGAGAUGGGUUUCACUCGAAUUAGAAUAUAGGGUUAUGAUUUUAUAACUGAGACUGAAAAUUGGAAGUUAUGAUGAAAUUAAGGUUUGUUCUUGAGGAUUUGGGUCAGUAGAAGCAGAAGAGUUAUUCUGGUGGCUAGAUUGAUUGAGACAGGAUGGAUGUUUAUGGUGUGGACUGAUCUUGAAGUGAAUUACAUUGAGGUAAUUGCUCUCUGAGUUUCUUUAGUAAAGUUAUGCAAUUUUUAUUGUUAAAUUCAUUAAAUUGUCAAAGAACUGGGAAUUGGGAUAUGAACAAUAUGUAUUGAAGUUGAAGUUGUAAUUAGGUUUUAUGCAUAAUCACUUUCACAGGGGAUUUGUAUUGUGUGGAGAUGUAAUUGUGGAUAUGGCUAAUGGGGUGAACUGGAGAUGGUUUUGUACGUGUGUUUGUGACUGCAUGUGUUUGGGGUUGAAUUGUUGGUAAAUUGUAGCAGUGCAUCUGGAGUCAGAACUUUAGCUGAUGAUGUUGAAGAUGAACUUGUAAAGCAGAGAGUAUUGUGUAAUUCUGCAGGUGCUAGUGGUCGAGGAUGUUUGAGAAGGACUGAAGAGAAUUUGAGUGAUUUCAGGAAUUGGGUUGUAGUUGGAGUGAAACUGCAGUUAUGGUGGUGUUCAUUGAAUUGUGUUGUUGAGUUGCAGUUAAAUGGUGGAUGAAAUAGACGCAGGGGAGAUUGAUUUGGUAUUGUAUGGAUUACAGGGAGGAUAAAUGAGAUUGUUAAUGUGGAGUCUUAAAUGGAUUGAAGUUCUUUUAGAUGAUUGUUAGGAUUUCACAUAGAUUGUAAUGCAUAUAUAAGUUAAGAUAUGGUGGAAUUGUGUUGAGAUUUAACUAAAGUUAAGUGUACUGGAAUUGGAGUUGUGUUUGAAUCAGUUGUGUGAGUUUAAUGAUGAGUGUUGCUCAACUGAGAACAAUAGUAGUUGUAAAGCAAUUUUGGCAGUGGCCUUAGUGAAAGCCUGCAACUGCAGAUUAAGUGGAUCGUGGAUCUCGAGGUAGGCGUGGCUUGUCAUCAAAAGAGUUUCAGAGACAAAUCAGAGUUGCGCAGCAAAAGCUCCAAGGAGUUGACUCCGUUAGUUGGUUAACUUCUGAUAUGUUUAUUCUGUUUUGUAAACCAAAUGACUAUUGUAUAUGUAUCAUUUGAGUGGAGUUCUUGUAUAUAAAUUUCAGAGCGAGGCUAGUUUUGGGUUAAAUUUUGUAGAAGAUAUCUUAAUUGGAUAUUUAAGUACAUGUUUUAGAU